rnacentral:lncRNA from 1 species
GCGAUGCUCCAGAAAUCUGGAGACUGGGGUGUGCAGCCAAGAAAAGAGGCAGUAGUGUGAUCUGAGAACCGGGGGUCCCCGUACCUUUCCCGAGAGAGUCCCCUUCACCAUGAGAGACUCGGGGUGUGUGUGCACGUGCAGACACACACGCACACAUUCGGGCAGGCACUGACCGCGAAGAAUCCUCGUCCCCGCCUCUCCCCUUCCACUCCCUGGGUCCCCAGCCAUCAUGCGCAUCUCCACCCUCCAGCGGGAAGAGGCAGGCCAUGGGGGGGGGGGGCAGGGGGCGGGGUGUUCUUGAUUCUACCAGCCAGGAAAGUCGGCACACCCACACCGGAGCCGUUCCUGUCCCUCUCACUGCCCGGGGGUGGGGGUGGGGUACUGUUGGAGCACACACGGUCGGAGCACACACACGGUCGGACCUCCCGUGCUUCUGUGACUUACUCGUGGUCUCCCCGGAGGUGCCAUUUGAAGACUCGAAAGGCAGGGAGUGGAUUCAGUGGAACCCACAGAGGGUAGGGGUCCGCGGCCUCACGGGGGUCUCAGAGAGUGGGAUUGGUGUGCGAUUCUCUCCCUGCUCCGCAGGCUGGCGAUGCAUCUACUUCAUCUCCAUUCACUCGGAGGAAAUUCAGGUUUGGAAAGGCCGACGAGCCCGUCCGAGUGCUCACAGUGGUGGAGUCUGGUGGUCAAGAACAAGCGUCCUGGCGUCUUUGUGUCUGAAUCCCGCCUUGGCAGUCAGGAGCCACGGUAACCUUGGGCAAAUUACGUAAGCUCUCAGUAAUCGGGUUUCUUAUCUAUCAGAUCAGGGAUGUUAAGAAGAUUAAAUUAGAGGGUGCAUGUGGAAGCGCUUAGCGCUGGCCUGACCCCUGGAAGAAGUGCGUCUCUGAGAGGCCUCUCUGGUCACCUCACAGCUUGCCAGCCAUGCUGGUGACUCCGCUGGCCAGCAGUGGGUGACACUCUCCAGUGUCUCAUUGCACUCCCAAAGUGGCAGCAAGGCAGGAUCCUGAAGACCCCUGAAGACACCAGAGGCUGCUCUUGACCUUUUGGAGAGAACGUCUGGCUGAGGUUAACCAGUAAAGGAAGAGGGGGAAGCAACCUCUGGGUGCCCAUGGAGCUCCAAUUCAUUGCCGCGGAGUCCAUGUCUGGACUCAAAACCACUGGGAGCCACUGCUGCUGACACUUCUCUGGCUUCUUCAGCUCCCUGAAAGCAGCAGGUGAUGACGGCCCAAGUGCUUGGGCCCCUGCACCCACGUGGAGACCCGGAGGAAGCUCCUGGCUUUGGCCUGGCCUAGCCUGGCUGCUGUGGCCAUUUGGGGAAUGAACUAGCAAGUGGACAGUCCCUCUCCCUCUCUUUCUCACUCUCUCACUUUCACUCUCAUUCUCGCUCUUGCUCUCACUCUCAUAACUCUGCCUUUCAAAUAAAUAAAAUCUUUUUUUUUUAAUAGAACUGAGU